rnacentral:tRNA from 1 species
AGGAGAGUCAGUUAAUUAAGCUUCCGGGCCCAUACCCCGACAAUGUUGGUUCCCCAAAACCCUUCCUAUACUA